rnacentral:tRNA from 1 species
CAGUAGAUAGUUUAAAUAAAAUAUUAGUUUUGGGGAUUAAUGAUGAAAUAAUUGUUCUUUACUGA